AGUAAAGCGCACGCAGGCGGUCUGUCAAGUCGGAUGUGAAAUCCCCGGGCUUAACCUGGGAACUGCAUUCGAAACUGGCAGGCUAGAGUCUUGUAGAGGGGGGUAGAAUUCCAGGUGUAGCGGUGAAAUGCGUAGAGAUCUGGAGGAAUACCGGUGGCGAAGGCGGCCCCCUGGACAAAGACUGACGCUCAGGUGCGAAAGCGUGGGGAGCAAACAGGAUUAGAUACCCUGGUAGUCCACGCUGUAAACGAUGUCGACUUGGAGGUUGUGCCCUUGAGGCGUGGCUUCCGGAGCUAACGCGUUAAGUCGACCGCCUGGGGAGUACGGCCGCAAGGUUAAAACUCAAAUGAAUUGACGGGGGCCCGCACAAGCGGUGGAGCAUGUGGUUUAAUUCGAUGCAACGCGAAGAACCUUACCUGGCCUUGG
rnacentral:rRNA from 1 species